AGAGUUUGAUCCUGGCUCAGGAUGAACGCUAGCUACAGGCUUAACACAUGCAAGUCGAGGGGAAACGACAUCGAAAGCUUGCUUUUGAUGGGCGUCGACCGGCGCACGGGUGAGUAACGCGUAUCCAACCUGCCCACCACUUGGGGAUAACCUUGCGAAAGUAAGACUAAUACCCAAUGACGUCUCUAGAAGACAUCUGAAAGAGAUUAAAGAUUUAUCGGUGAUGGAUGGGGAUGCGUCUGAUUAGCUUGUUGGCGGGGUAACGGCCACCAAAGGCAACGAUCAGUAGGGGUUCUGAGACGGAAGGUCCCCCACAUUGGAAACUGAGACACGGUCCAAAACUCCUACGGGAGGCA
rnacentral:rRNA from 1 species